rnacentral:misc_RNA from 1 species
UCCUCCUUGUGGGAGGCUGUCUCGCUAGAGAGUGUAACUAGCGACGAGGGUUGCGCUCGUUGCGGGACUUAACCCAACACCUCACGGCACGAGCUGACGACAACCAUGCAGCACCUGUGGAGGCUUCCCGAGUUACCCCGGGAUCAUUGCCCUUUCGGGUUCUUACUACCAGCAUGUCAAGCCUAGGUAAGGUUUUUCGUUUAGCAUCGAAUUAAACCACACGCUCCACCGCUUGUGCGGGCCCCCGUCAAUUCCUUUGAGUUUUAGCCUUGCGGCCGUAGUCCCCAGGCGGGAUGCUUAUCGCGUUAGCUGCGGCACAGGAGGGGUCGAUACCCCCUAUACCUAGCAUCCAUAGUUUAGGGCGUGGACUAC